CCUACGGGGGGCUGCAGUGGGGAAUAUUGGACAAUGGGGGCAACCCUGAUCCAGCCAUGCUGCGUGUGUGAAGAAGGCCCUCGGGUUGUAAAGCACUUUCAGUGAGGAAGAACGCCUGGUGGUUAAUACCCAUCAGGAAAGACAUCACUCACAGAAGAAGCACCGGCUAACUCCGUGCCAGCAGCCGCGGUAAUACGGAGGGUGCGAGCGUUAAUCGGAAUUACUGGGCGUAAAGCGCGCGUAGGUGGCUUGAUAAGCCGGUUGUGAAAGCCCCGGGCUCAACCUGGGAACGGCAUCCGGAACUGUCAAGCUAGAGUGCAGGAGAGGAAGGUAGAAUUCCCGGUGUAGCGGUGAAAUGCGUAGAGAUCGGGAGGAAUACCAGUGGCGAAGGCGGCCUUCUGGACUGACACUGACACUGAGGUGCGAAAGCGUGGGUAGCAAACAGGAUUAGAUACCCCAGUAGUC
rnacentral:rRNA from 1 species